rnacentral:rRNA from 1 species
GACAGAGGGUGCAAACGUUGUUCGGAAUUACUGGGCGUAAAGCGAGUGUAGGCGGUUCUCAAAGUCGGAUGUGAAAGCCCCGGGCUCAACCCGGGAAGUGCACCCGAUACUGGAGAGCUAGAGUGUCGGAGAGGUUGGUGGAAUUCUCGGUGUAGAGGUGAAAUUCGUAGAUAUCGAGAGGAACACCGGCGGCGAAGGCGGCCAACUGGACGAACACUGACGCUGAGACACGAAAGCGUGGGGAGCAAACAGG